AUGGAGUGGUCUGCAGUAAUUGCCCCCAUAACAUCUGAGCCACAGCCUGGACCUUCAUCAGAGCAGUCACCUGUUCCAGAAAACCUGUGGCAGCAGCUCGAUGAAGAAGUUGGCAGACAAACCAACAAUGCAACAGUGGACUCCAUCAUUGAGGUCCAGCGCUACUUGGUGGAGAGAAACAUUCCAAGAUCAGAGGAUCCUUUAACGUACUGGGGGAAUAGAAAGACAUCUUAUCAGAACUUUUUCCACCCGGCUUUACAGUUUUUGUGUACCCCGGCUUCAUCUGUGCCCUGUGAGCGUGUGUUUUCCAAAGCUAGGGAAAUGGUGUCAAAAAAACACAAUAGACUGAAUGCAAACACAUUGGAUAAAGUUAUUUUUCUGAAUAAAAAUUUAUAAUAAACUCUGAGUGAAUUACAUUUAAAUGGGUAAUAUUACAUUCACAAUACUUUCAUUUUAAUUUUCACUUAAUGUCUUUCACACUAUAUUUUAAAUAUGUCUACAAUAUUUGAAAUGUAAAAGAUAUAAAAUGAUUCCAUGGAAAAUACAAUACCUUACAGUGUAUACACGUAUGACUAGGUCAUUGAAUCAGUGUCUGUUUAAGUCUCAAGUUGCCUGCAAUGAUAUUUAAGGUCCAGCAGGUGUCAGUAUGGAGCAAAACAGCAACACUGUGUCGACACAGUAUCGAUACAGUUUGGGGAAUGUGCUGAAACGCUUCACGAGGCCUCAUCUACCCAUCACUAGCUCCAUCCAAAGUGGGAUGGAUGCCGUCUCUCCUAACAAGACCAGGUUUCCUCCAGAAGGUUUGCCAAUUAUCUAUGAAGCCCACGUCGUUUCUGGGACACCACUCAGACAGCCAGCAAUUUAAGGAGAACAUGCGGCUAAACAUGUCACUCCUGGUCUGAUUGGGGAGGGGACCAGAGAAAACUACAGAGUCCCACAUUGUUUUGGCAAAGUUACACACCGAUUCAAUAUUGAUUUUAGUGACCUCCGAUUGGCGUAACCGGGUGUCAUUACUGCCGACGUGAAUUAUGAUCUUACUGUAUUUACGUUUACCCUUAGCCAGCAGUUUUAAAUUUCCUUCAAUGUCGCCUGCUCUGGCCCCUGGAAGACAAUUGACUAUGGUUGCCGGUGUCUCUAGCUUCACAUGUCUGAGAACAGAAUCACCAAUUACCAGAGUUUGACCCCCGGCGGGUGUGUCGCCGAGUGGGGAAAAACGGUUAGACACAUGAACAGGUUGGUGGUGUACCUGGGGCUUCAGUUUAAGACUAUGCUUCCUCCUCACCGUCACCCAGCCGCCCUCUUUCCCCAGCUGCUUGGGGUCUGCCGGGGAACAGCUAGCGGGGCCUACGCUAUCUUCGGCUGCACCAGCUAUAGGGGCCUGGCUAGCUACGGGUGAAUGAAGGGUGCGAAGCCGAGUCUCCAAUUCAGUAAUCCUGGCCUCCAGAGCUGCAAAUAUGCUACAUUUGUUACAGGUAUCAUUACUGCUAAAGGAGGCCGAGGAGUAACUAAACAUCUGACACAAUGAGCAGGAAAGUGCAGGAGGGACAGGUGAAGUAGCCAUGGUGCUAACGAGUCGGCUACGAGCUAAGCUAAGCUAACGAAACAGUAAAGAGACAGUGAGUGAAUACUUUGGCUAUAAAUUAGGUAGUGAGUACACAGAAAGGGUGAUUCAGAUGAAGCACGUUAAGAUUAUACUAUGAAAAAGGGAUGUAUCAAAAGAUUUAAAUUAAAUUGCUAAGCAGAAAAGCUACUCAGAAACACCACUGUGUUUGAGCAGGAACAGGAAGUGAUACUCUACCACAAAGCGAGCGAACACCAAGUGACAGCGCCACCAAGAGUCAGGAGGACCAGUGAAGUCUCAAAGUCUGAGGACAGACCCUGGAUUAAUCCUAGGACUUUGGUGGUCCUGCUGAUGUGUUCAGUCUGUGAUUGGACAGAGAGCAGGGGUCCAGGAGCUGAUGGGGUUCAAACCAGCAACUGUGUUUAUAUCUGUCACCAGACCUUCACUUUUUUUCUCUUAAAUGAGCUUCAUGGUGUUGUUCUUGGCUGGUUUAGUUUUUGCUCUACACAUCCUUCCACAGACGACACCAUCAUAGACACCAAAGGUGUUCAAUAAGUCCAAACUGCUCUGACUGAAUCAAACACUUCCUGUGUCUCUUUGUCCCAGGACCUCCACCACAGCUGUUUAUUAGAUCAGCUACAUGCAUUAUGAUCCCUCAAUACAAUCAGAUUCUGCUUAGAACUGCAUUCAAAACUGAUAGGUUUGUAGCAUAAACCUAUUCGCUGGAACGCUGGACUAUUUGCUACACAGCAAAAACAAGACACAAGUAGGCAAAGUUCUUUGUAGUACUCAUGCAUGAGGGAGGCCUGCCUGGAGCCAAGUGUUGUUCCACCCGCUUGACCUCCGUCAGACUCUCAGCCAGGUUCCCCACAGCACUCCUUUUAUUGUGGUUACAUGAAUAUGCAUAGGUUCACAUGUGAACAAAGAAUACCCUGUGUGUGUGUGUGUGUGUGUGUGGGGGGGGGGGUCAAAGCAUGACCCGAUAUAUGACUUCCCUAAACCUGCUGGCCUGGAAGUCCAGCAGUUCAUCUAAACAAAAGGCACUUAGCCUAAAACAGAUAUAGAUAUGUUUAUCCUACCAUAAACCAUAAAACCAGGGCUCUAGACUAACUUUUUGAUAUGGGCGCACCGGUACGCCUAACUUUAAAAAUUUAGGCGUACCGGCACAAAAGUUAGGCGCACUCAAAUUUUUCAACGGCAUCGCUUAACACCGCAGUUUUACAUGUGCACUUUCUUUGGGGGGGAAGUCCAUACAGACAAUAUUCAUUUCUAAAUUAUUAACUAACAAUCUUGUGCUUAAAUUGCUUUGUCAAUAUUGUAGAAAAUGUUAAACUUAAUCAUCAUCUUGGCUCCUCUGACGACCUGUUUGCUGCUGCCUGCUGCUGAAAGGCAGUGGGUAGAGGGGACACUUGGGCAGUGCAUUUAUUGCAGCAUAUAAUGUGCUGCAAUAAGUGAAUGUAACUGUCACUGUUACAUUCAUCUUUUCUUAUUACCCACAGCUACAUCCACUUCUGUCAGGCCUAGGCUGCUCACUAGGGCUGCGUAUCAUCACUGAUUUCUAUAAUCCAUUCGAUUCCGGUUCUCAAAGUCCUGAUUCGAUUCAAUUUAGCCUCAGACAGUCAGAAAUAUUAUAAUUUUGAUCAUUUAUCAGUACUGAUACAUGUGAGACUUCAUCAGAAUUGUGAACAUCACAGCAGAUGCCUUUGUGUCAAAGUAACUGAGAAUAAAACACAGAAAAACAUGAAGGAGAUUUUCCUGGUCUGGCGUUUUAUAGCAGAUAACCUUAAAAAUAUUCUGCAAUAUUCUGCAAUUUUGCAUAAUUUUAAGAAGUUUAAAUUUCUUCAGUAUUGAACAGCAGAAAUGAGAUGGGAAACUGUUCUUGAAGUACAGAGAGAGAGAGAGAGAGAGAGAGAGAGGGAGCUGUGCAUGAAGUGUGAUUUUUAUCGUGGUGGAAGCAAAACAGCAAAAGUCAGAGGGAAUUCAUGACAACAUUGAUCAAAUGUGAAGCGUAGUUUGCUGCUUCUUUUGCUGCUGGCUCGGCGAAUUUUGGUUGGAGAGAGACAAAACCUGCAGCUCAGAAUCAGCACAAAAAAGACGGAAACACAGCGCGGACCCGACGCAUCAGAAUCGCUAAACUCCGACAGCGUGUCCGUGUUCGGGCCGUGGGGUGAGAAAGCUCUGAUUGGUUUAGUCCACGAUAGGGGCAUAAUGUGUGUCUGUUGUUGACCACACGGAGAGUUGCAGAGAUUUUUUUUUUUUUUUGUUACCCGAAAAUAUUUGGUCGCACUGGUGCGACCAAAUAUUUUUUUUAGUCGCACAACUGAAAAAUUUGGUCGGAUUUGCGACCAAAUUGGUCGCACUCUAGAGCCCUGCAUAAAACAAUAAGACAAGGUAUGACCUCUCCCAUGCUCCCAGAGUGUGGGUGUGAAAACCAGAACACUCUGGAAUGCACACAAUGCUGUUGUAGACUAUUAAGGAUCAAACCUCCUAUCACUACACAAUCGAUUAUACACCUCUAAGCAUAUAUGGUUAAAUAUUUCUUAAUACAAAUGACAAUAAUAAAAUAUAAACCCAACAAAAACUGUUGAGCAAAUACUGGUUGUGAACUGAGCUUCAGAGAAACACAACAUACUGAUAUUCACUGUGAAGCUUUGAGUGGAAAAAGACAGAAAAACAACAUGUGGGUCCUGGAAUAAUGGGAGCUUCCAUCUUUAAAGGACUGAAGAGGAAGAAGUUUACAAGGAAUCAUUCAGAAGAGUUUGAAACAUCAACUGAUUGAAUCCAUGAAUCUGAAAACGUGUUUGUGAGUGAAAGAGACAGACAUGUACAGACUGAACUAUCUGUUCAACAGUCAGAGUGUUUCUCUAACAGGAGACACUCUUUACACUCCACUCAGCACAGGGACACUGAGGAACCAGAUGAAUAAAACCCAAACCCAGGAUAAAGAGUUUGAGUGAAUGUGGUGUUGAAGGUGUGGAGGUGGAUCAGAGUGUCAGAGGAGACUCUGUAGAAGGACAGAGUGCCAGCAGGACAGUCCACAUACACUGCUGCUCUGUUAGAGACAGAGGAGGAGGAGGAGAUGGAUGUUUCUCUGUUAUUGUGCAUGACACAAACAGGACCAUCAUCAUAAGAACAGUGCAGACUCCAGGACUGACGAUUGUAUCCAAAUACACAGUCUUCACCAUCUCCUUUCCUUCCGAUUCCUCUGUAACUCACUGAUAUAUGGACCUCUCCGCUCCACUCGACCUCCCAGUAACAGCGACCAGUCAGACCAUCUCUACACAGCAGCUGAUGACAAAAAAAUCUGUCUGGAUGAUCAGGAUAUGACUGAACCUCCUCCACAUGUGUCACCUUCCUGUUGUUGUCAGACAGUUGGAGCUCUGUGUUCACUGUGUUUGUGUCGAUUGUGAGUGGACAGGAAUCUGAUGGAGAGAACAAACACAAUC
rnacentral:lncRNA from 1 species